rnacentral:rRNA from 1 species
GGCGGACGGGUGAGUAACGCGUGGGUAACCUGCCCUAUACAGGAGGAUAGCAGUUGGAAACGACUAUUAAUACUCCAUAAGCACACACUGCCGCAUGGUAGAGUGUGAAAAGAUUUAUCGGUAUAGGAUGGACCCGCGUUUGAUUAGCUAGUUGGUGAGGUAAUGGCUCACCAAGGCGACGAUCAAUAGCCGACCUGAGAGGGUGAUCGGCCACACUGGGACUGAGACACGGCCCAGACUCC